GCCUCGGUAGGCAACUGGCAGACCACUCUCUUUCAGAAAGAGAGAUGCUGUGGGUUCAACUCCCACCUGAGGCA
rnacentral:tRNA from 1 species